GCUCUGGCUGGGCGGUCAGACCUUUUGGCCUGUACUGCUCUGGCCGGAGUUCACCUUCUGGUGAGUCAGCAUGCCCUUCAUUGGGUGUGUUGGUGAACCAGGACUUUUACCUUGAAAAAAUUAGAGUGUUUAAAGCAGGCCUAUGCUUGAAUACAUUAGCAUGGAAUAAUAGAAUAGGACUUUGGUUCUAUUUUGUUGGUUUCUAGGACCGAAGUA
rnacentral:rRNA from 1 species